CGUGCUUAACACAUGCAAGUCGAACGAUGAAGCCCAGCUUGCUGGGUGGAUUAGUGGCGAACGGGUGAGUAACACGUGAGUAACCUGCCCUUAACUCUGGGAUAAGCCUGGGAAACUGGGUCUAAUACCGGAUAGGAGCGUCCACCGCAUGGUGGGUGUUGGAAAGAUUUAUCGGUUUUGGAUGGACUCGCGGCCUAUCAGCUUGUUGGUGAGGUAAUGGCUCACCAAGGCGACGACGGGUAGCCGGCCUGAGAGGGUGACCGGCCACACUGGGACUGAGACACGGCCCAGACUCCUACGGGAGGCAGCAGUGGGGAAUAUUGCACAAUGGGCGCAAGCCUGAUGCAGCGACGCCGCGUGAGGGAUGACGGCCUUCGGGUUGUAAACCUCUUUCAGUAGGGAAGAAGCGAAAGUGACGGUACCUGCAGAAGAAGCACCGGCUAACUACGUGCCAGCAGCCGCGGUAAUACGUAGGGUGCGAGCGUUAUCCGGAAUUAUUGGGCGUAAAGAGCUCGUAGGCGGUUUGUCGCGUCUGUCGUGAAAGUCCGGGGCUUAACCCCGGAUCUGCGGUGGGUACGGGCAGACUAGAGUGCAGUAGGGGAGACUGGAAUUCCUGGUGUAGCGGUGGAAUGCGCAGAUAUCAGGAGGAACACCGAUGGCGAAGGCAGGUCUCUGGGCUGUAACUGACGCUGAGGAGCGAAAGCAUGGGGAGCGAACAGGAUUAGAUACCCUGGUAGUCCAUGCCGUAAACGUUGGGCACUAGGUGUG
rnacentral:rRNA from 1 species